CAAUAUGAUAUACUCUAAAGUCAUUUUCUUUACUUUGAUGUUUUUGGAAUCCACUCGAGAACUUACGUCAUUCGUAGAACCAUUGUGUUGGGAUUUUACUUCCAGUGACCAAAGGAUUUUGCGAUGUUGUGAUGGUUACAGAACUUUAGGAGGGAAAUGUUUCCCAUGCGUAGGUUCAUUUGGGCUCGAAUGUAGCAGGCCAUGUCCUGGAGGAUACUUUGGAGUUAAAUGUCAAGAAGAAUGUCCCUGUGAGAGAUGUAAUGCAACGACAGGGGAAUGUUUUAACGAAACCAUGCCACGAAUUUGCUUGGGAAGUUUUGGAAAAGAUUGUUCUAUACUUGUCCACCCGGGUAUUAUGGUAGAGGGUGUGAAGAAAAAUGCUUCUGUAAAGAUUGUGAUAGUAUGAAUGGUUCGUGUAAGGACCAAUCAGAAACAGAGGGCCUCAAGAUUAUUGCUAUAAACUGUUCAAAACCAUGUCCAUUCAGAAGAAAGGGAGGAGGAUGUGAAGAAAAAUGCAAUUUUGAUGCCUGUGA